rnacentral:misc_RNA from 1 species
UUGCUUUCCUCUGCAAGAUAUUUUUCUUGUCCUUGUAUUGACAACAAUUACUUAUCCUCUUCCUUUAUCAUGGUCAAACAUAAAACACCUCCCACCUAUAAUCCUCAUAAGUGAUCAAUUCAAAGACCAUAUUUUCUUCAUUUCAUUUUUCUAGCUUUUCUUUCCUUCCAUGGCAUCUCUCUCAUUGGGCCAUUCUCUCUACAACAACAACAGUUUAAUUCAAGGACUGAAACCCAGAAACUGCCCAAGAAUUCUCAUUCUUCUGUCUUGCCAAAGAGGAGAACAAAUAGACAUUACCAACACAAAAGGAAAGAAAGAAAUGAAGCAAGAAAAGCAGCUGACGCUGGGACAACUCUUUUGCAGUGCAGAGAAAUUUGGAAGGGAAUUGAAGGAUACUUUGAGGCCUAAGCAAAAGGGUGACUGGAAAGAUGUGUUGUUGAUGAGCUUGUCAUUUGCUGUUUAUGUAUAUAUAUCUCAACAAAUUGUUUGUGCUUAUUGUGUUUGGACUUCCAUGCUCGAGCAACCAUAGUAGAUAGCUGGGAGCAUGAUAACUUUUGCAUCUGGGUUAUGGAUGACUAAAGAUAUCUCCUGAAAUGAUGUUAUUUACCUGCAUGAAUUUUUCUUCUUUUUUGAAUUUUCUUGGAUUGAACUUUAGUUCUUUUCCUAGGAAAGUUCCAAAACAAAAAGACUGUAAUGUUAUAUUUGUGAAU